rnacentral:rRNA from 1 species
UACGUAGGGGGCAAGCGUUGUCCGGAUUUACUGGGCGUAAAGCGCGUGUAGGCGGCUAAGUAAGUCGGGCGUGAAAUCCCACGGCUCAACCGUGGAAGUGCACUCGAAACUGCAUAGCUAGAGUCCUGGAGAGGAAGGUGGAAUGCUUGGUGUAGAGGUGAAAUUCGUAGAUAUCAAGCGGAACACCGGUGGCGAAGGCGGCCUUCUGGACAGUGACUGACGCUGAGACGCGAAAGCGUGGGGAGCAAACAGG